rnacentral:piRNA from 1 species
UCACUGGGAUAUCAAAACUUCACAUGCAA